CACGGGGGGAACGCGAAGAACCUUACCAGAUCUUGACAUCCUCUGACAAUCCAGGAAACUGGACGUUCCCUUCGGGGACAGAGUGACAGGUGGUGCAUGGUUGUCGUCAGCUCGUGUCGUGAGAUGUUGGGUUAAGUCCCGUAACGAGCGCAACCCUUAUUGUUAGUUGCCAGCAUUCAGUUGGGCACUCUAGCGAGACUGCCGGUGAUAAACCGGAGGAAGGUGGGGAUGACGUCAAAUCAUCAUGCCCCUUAUGAUCUGGGCUACACACGUGCUACAAUGGAUGGUACAACGAGUUGCGAGACCGCGAGGUUCAGCUAAUCUCCUAAAGCCAUUCUCAGUCCGGAUUGCAGGCUGCAACUCGCCUGCAUGAAGCCGGAAUCGCUAGUAAUCGCGGAUCAGAACGCCGCGGUGAAUACGUUCCCGGGUCUUGUACACACGC
rnacentral:rRNA from 1 species